rnacentral:rRNA from 1 species
AUUGAACGCUGGCGGCAUGCCUUACACAUGCAAGUCGAACGGUAACGCGGGGCAACCUGGCGACGAGUGGCGAACGGGUGAGUAAUGCAUCGGAACGUGCCCAGUAGUGGGGGAUAGCCCGGCGAAAGCCGGAUUAAUACCGCAUACGACCUACGGGUGAAAGGGGGGGAUCGCAAGACCUCUCGCUAUUGGAGCGGCCGAUGUCAGAUUAGGUAGUUGGUGGGGUAAAGGCCUACCAAGCCGACGAUCUGUAGCUGGUCUGAGAGGACGACCAGCCACACUGGGACUGAGACACGGCCCAGACUCCUACGGGAGGCAGCAGUGGGGAAUUUUGGACAGUGGGCGCAAGCCUGGUCCAGCCAUGCCGCGUGCGGGAAGAAGGCCUUCGGGUUGUAAACCGCUUUUGUCAGGGAAGAAAUCUUCUGGGUUAAUACCUCGGGAGGAUGACGGUACCUGAAGAAUAAGCACCGGCUAACUACGUGCCAGCCGCCGCAGUAAGAC